CUGAGAAAUAUCAAUCCUUUGAUUCUUGUAACAUGGUAACUUGAGAUGGGACAGAAAUGUAUAUCGCCCUCGAAUCUUGUUAAACGAUCUGAUUAUACUGGAAGGUGAGUAGUUUCCUUGCCAUGCUUGUCAAGCGAGCAGUCUUUCGCGGUUUGACCUCUCUCUCGUUGUCUGUUCGACCCGAACUUGUGGUUUUCAUGGGAUAAAAACCCUAGUAUAUCAUGCAUGAUUUCCCCUAAAAACCAUGCAACAUAAAACUUUUUUUGAACUUGUAAUAGGGUAAUCUUUUCUUGGCUCAAGCUUUUCACCUUUUUCUACCAUCAGCACAGAGGAAUAAUCAAAAGAUUAGUCUACUUAAUCCUUCACGGAGCCCAAGUCGUUGGACCAACCCGUACAUGUACAGACUGCCUUUUGGAUGUUUAGAUCUUAAUUUGAAGAUCGUUCCAAAUUGUAGAUCUCACUCAUGAAUCAAAUUUUUGUGCAUGUGUGUAAUUAGAUCUUCAUAGUGACUUCUCAACAUGGUACUUGCCUGCAUAGUCCUCCAUAUUUGGGAGUUUUACUAUGCUAGCAGAGUGCUAUAGCUUCCAAGGUGAAUUGAGCCGGUUUAGUAAGUAAGCUUCUGAAUAUGAUCUUCAUGGAUGGUCACGCCUAGAGUAAUAUCCAAUAUUUCACCCAAACAAAGAUGCUAAAGUUAUAGGAUGAACUAUCAAAUCUUCUUUAGUAGCUAGGAAAAUAUCACAUCCUUACAAGUACUACGUGGAGACCUUUACGAGGAUUUUGAUUUAUGAAGUGUGUUAUAACAUGGAUAUGAUAACGUUAAUACUGGGCCAGAAUUUGAAGGGCAGCUACAACUUCUUUAUCUUCUCAACCUAGUUUUCUUUCAUAAAUCGUGCCAAUUUUAACCUCCCAUAUAAGAUAACCUUGUUGAGCAACUUUGUAGAAGACAUUAGUACAUGAAACUGCUUAAGUACUAAUCAUCCAACGACUCACUAUAUUACUUCAAUCUUUUUUUCUGUAAAGACAUAGAAGUACCAAUCUCUAGGACAAGAGAGAAUUGUAGUAUUUGAACAUAAAGCCCCCACCUCCACCAGUCCACUCUCUCUCCUUCCCCAAUGGGCCAAUAACAUACGGGUUGCCUAGGAGGAGAAUGACCUAGCUAACUGCAGAUAAAUAAUUUAAGAACUUUGUACUUUUUGCCCCAGGCAAAGAUGGAGAAAGAUGCGAUUUCUUGAUUAUAUUUUGUUUGUUGACAUAUACUAAAACCUGAAGCCUGAGAGUUUACAAAAGGCACACAUACGCACACAGAAGCAAAAGAAGUCUUUUGAAGUAUAAUGAAGAGGCUUAGCUAAACACUUUAAGCUCAGUACCAAGAGGGUACUAUACAGUCACAUGAUUUACGGUGUAUAUUAAUUGGAUAAAGGGCUAUGGUAAUAUCUACUAAAGUUUAUCAAGUAUGACAUGUACAUGAAACCAGUUACAAGAAAGUGGCAUUUUGAUGUAUGAGAUAAAUGAUGGACUGUUACUUUGAAUCUACCUAAAAGUGUUGCAAGUUUAGCCGCUUUUGAAUCCCUAGAGAAGGUCCUGACGCCUUGGAAGUCUGGCACUCUCUUUUACUAUUGACCAUGUAGCUAGCAGUAAUUUUGAACCGUAAAAAAAAAAAAGUUAGGUGUCGCUACCCUAAUGCAGGAGCUGUUUUGAGAGUUAAAUGUAGAUGAAUAUGAACAGUUCAAAGGCUAAAUUGUGGAGUAGUUGAAGUCCGUAACCAUUGGACAUUUGUCCUUGAACGAACUCUAGAGUACGCUUCUUUUGAGUGGCUGGGCUAAAUACGAGAACAAAAGAUAGUUCACUGAAUUUUAGUUGUACGUGGCCAUUGCUCGCCCUUUCCUUCUAGCUACUACAUAUGCAGCUCCCCAUUGAACCUAACAUUUCCUUGGGGCAGAAUUUGAAAGUCCCUCAAAUAUUGUAACUAUUCAUUAAGUAAUAAAUAACAGUUUUUAAUUUAUGGACAAGUACAGCAUAGCCUAAAUCCUUUGAGCAAAGAUUUAAGGUCGAUCCGACAGCGAAUGUGAGGUUAUGACCUGCAAGGACUGCUUACUUGCCAUGGCUUUGCAUGGAAAUCAACACCUUAUAUUUCUGAAGUUUCAUGUUGAAGAAAUCUGCGACGAGAGAAUCAAGGGAUGGAGGUAGUAUAUUUGCAAUCAGAAAUGAUCUUUCACUCGCUCAACCUUUCUAUUUGGUACUUUCUUUCUAUUGUUUGUGCUGCGUAAUUGUGUGUGAAAUUAUGUGGGUUUAUGUGUAAAGGCAUUGUGAAUAAUUACCUACAAUAUUUAGAAAUAAUAAGCAUGUAUCAUGCAUAUAUGCAUAUACAUCUUAGUGCAUCUUAACAAUGAGCUUUACUUGGGCAAGACACGACUUCAAUCACUAAGCAAUUCGUAUUAUACUCUUGAUGCAUUAAGAUGAAAGAUUUAGCAGGCUAUUCUCUUGUAUGUCUACUGCUGGUACGUGAUAAGUUUUGAGAUUUUCAAAGAGCAUUGUUUUGUUGGUAAAUUAUCUAUCUCGUACAAAUCAGAUGAAAGUGACGGUGUUAUUGUUGUAUAAUGUACAUGUUGGGAUUGUAUUGAAUUCUUGAAAGAUGUUUUUGUCA